AAGCACUCUGCCACUGAGCCAAGGCCCCAGCCCCCUUUUCUGUGUUUAGAUAUGCUUAGAUACACAAAUACUUAAAAUUGUGUUGCAGUUGCCUAUGGUAUUUGGACCCCCAAACCAGAUGUGGUGGCUCAUUCCUGUAAUCGCAGCAACUCAGGAGGCUGAGGCAAGAGAAUCUCAAAUUAAAACUUGGCCUCAGCAAUUUAGCAAGGCCCUCAGCAACAUAGUAAGGCUGUGCCUCAGUGGUUAAGCACCCCUGGGUUCAGUCCUCGGUAUUAAAAAAAAAAAAAAAAGAGUCUUGCAAGAGAAAGAUUCAGGUUGAAGGGUGCCAGCCUGUGGCAAAGAUAGAAAGGAUAUAGUGGCAGUUAGUUUCCAAUGCAAGUUGCCCAAGAAUCCUACAACAUGGAGAUUUUCAGGGCUAAAAACAAACAUCUCUUUUGGUAUUGCAAAUUGCAAAUUUGAGCAAUGGGCUGGGGGUGUCACUCAGAGGCAUAAUGCAUGCCUGGCUGUGGGUUACAUCCCCAGCAGCAAAAACAACAACAAAAAUUUAAGGGGGUGGGGAGGUGUAGCUCAGUGGUAGGGUGCUUGCCUAGCAUGUGUGAGGCCCUGUGUGAUCCCUGUGAUCUUCAACACCAAAAUACAGAAAUAAAUGUAAACAACUAUAAGGAGUGGUUUGGGAGUAAAGUCUUGGCUCAAGAUGAGUCUAACUUCUCCCAGAGUCUAUGAGCCUGGAGGCAAAGAUGGCCGAUGUCGGCAUUAAGGAUGCCACCUUCCUACCCCUGACUCAGAAGCACUGAAAGAGGUUGUCCUUAGGCUCAGCACAGCCUCAUUUGCAGAACAAAGCAUUUAGAUUUAAAAAAGUAUGUCUGGGGGCAGGGGGUUUAGCUCAGAAGUACAGCAUUUGCUUAGCUUGUGGGGCCCUGAGUUCCAGAGCUCUCUCUCUGCUGCCUACCUCUCCCGUAUCUACAGGGGAAUAAUGGAAAAGGAAGAACCUCCCAGAAUGCAGAAUGAGGGGCUAUCUGAAUGGUAUCCAAGAACCAGUUCUACUGCCAUAGAGGGGAAUCUUCCCUGUCCCUCUUCAGAGGAUGCCAUGUUUAUUUAGCCAUGCUGGAGAUGGAACCCAGGGCCUCACACAUGCUGGGCAAGUUCUUUACCACUGAAGUAUUUGUGUGGACAAAUAGGCUUUCUUUUCUCUUGGGUAAAUCCUUCAAACCUUUUUUCAGUUAAACAUACAUAACA
rnacentral:lncRNA from 1 species